ACACAAGGACUAGUCCAUUGGGCCCACAAUCUCUGAUAAGUCCCACCACAGGGAAUUUAGGGGAGAGAGAAGGUUAGUUCUAGGAAAGCUACAGGGGUAGAGAGAGAAUGUAGACUUUUAGCUGGCUCUUAAAAUGAUGAGGAGAAGUUAGAAAAUAAAAAGCAAACAGUGUUUCAGGCAAUGACAAAUAAUAAUAAUUUGCAAAAACUGAGUAAGCAAAUAAUCAUCUAAGACCCUUGCAUAUAUUAAUGACAUUGAAUUAUCACAACAGUCAUAUGAGCGAUAUAAUGCUAGUAUUUCCAUUUUACAGAUGGAGAAAUCAAGCCUUUGAAAUUUUAAGAAAUUUGCUCACAGUCAACCUAGAUGUUAAGUGGCAAGUUGGAUGGUUGAACCUCUGAAGUUUCCUGAGCUCAUGCUCAAUAGCAGAAGAUACAAGGAACAAGUGAAGAGCAGGAAGGCCAGACCACAAGUCGUAAAGGAGCAGAGUGGAAUCAAGGAAGGCACAGCAGCAAAGGAGGCUUUACAGGUGCCAGAUCUCAGGGGAGCUCAAUGGUGGAACACAGGGGCGUCAGUGAGGACAGUUCCACGAUUUCUCUAUGUUCCCAGGAUAACAACUCUGGCUUGUGUCAAGAACUUGAAGAGUUGAUGCAGUGUUCCUGUUGUGGCCAGUUUUCCAGUAGACCUCAAGCUCCUCAAGGUAAGAGCUUGCCCUUCACUGGUCCCUGUAUCUGUUGGGUGACCUUUGGUGAUGGAUGGGAUAGAGGGAGGUAAGCAGGCAGGCAAGAAGAAAGCAAGGGAUUCCGGACAGAAGUUCCCACAGGUGGGGAUGGGUCCAAUGAUUGGCCAUUGAGACUCAUCUGGAGAAAUUCUUCAAACAAAACAAAACAAAACACAUACGCAUGCAUUUCCAUCCUCCUGAGAUUCUGUCCGUGGGUGGGGCCCAGGCAAAGAGAUUUACCUUGAAGCUAACGCAACUUAAACUUCAGGGUCUUUUACCUGCACAGCUGCUUCCAGGGUCCUGGGAGGGGCUCCAGCAAUUUCUUUAUUCAUAAUUUUAUAUUUUUUAAAAAGUGUCCUUCAUAUGGAAUGAUCUCAGGACCCACAAAACCCGGACCAAACUCUGGCUCCAGGAUCUGGAGUUUUAGUCUGGCCAUGUGAUACACAAGAGAGGGUUGGGGGUUACUUGCUACUCAGUGUGCAGUUGACAGACCAGAGGCAUCAGCAUCAUGGGUGAGUGUGUUAGAAAUGCAGAAUCUCAGCUCCCAUUCUCAGACCCGCCGUCUGUGAGUCUACAUUUUCACAAGAUCUCUGGGCUGAUUCACAUGGGAAAAAAAUCAUAUUCAAAAUAAAGUUUGUGAAGUACUGCUCUAGUGGUUUUUC
ensembl:lncRNA